UACGGAGGGAGCGAGCGUUGUCCGAAGUUACUGGGCGUAAAGCGCGUGUAGGCGGCUAUGUAAGUCGGGCGUGAAAUCCCACGGCUCAACCGUGGAAGUGCACCCGAAACUGCGUAGCUAGAGUCCUGGAGAGGAAGGUGGAAUGCUUGGUGUAGAGGUGAAAUUCGUAGAUAUCAAGCGGAACACCGGUGGCGAAGGCGGCCUUCUGGACAGUGACUGACGCUGAGACGCGAAAGCGUGGGGAGCAAACAGG
rnacentral:rRNA from 1 species